CGGGAUGUGGCGCAGCCCGGUUAGCGCACUACUUUAGGGUAGUAGGGGCCGCUGGUUCGAAUCCAGUCAUCCCGA
rnacentral:tRNA from 1 species